UUUUACAUGUCAUUCCAACCAUCUAUCUGCAUUUGAUGGUUGGACUGUAGUUUUCUCUCCCGUAAGGUUGGUGUUUCAGAUCACCGGCUGUAGUAGAACCAUA
rnacentral:ribozyme from 1 species